GCUCAUUCGACCAAGUGUGUUGUCUGCUAUACUCAGGUGAUCAGUCUGUCAUACACACGCCCUGUGUUUUCUUCGUAUGUAAAUACGUCAUCCAUCGCGUUCUGAACUCUACGUUUAACUGCCGAAUAGCUGGAACGUUUCCAUAUCAACAAACGGGCCUUAGGAGAGAAGGUGUGACUUUAAAAUGAGCUAAUCUCCAUGGUCGAAAUGAAGCCGGCGUACGAUGUGUACAUUCCAACGAGGGCCAACGCACCAAUUGUAUUUUAGGUGGGCGAAAUUCUUUCCAGUUUCAAAACAUUGAAACAAAAACAAAAAUGGCAGAACAAAACGAGCAAAGUAAACAAACAGAAACAACCAGAAACCAAAAAAAAAAAAAAAAAAAGGGAGGAGAGGGCGAAACAAAAAAGGGGAACAGGAUCAAAAGUGAAACUAAAUCAACCAACCAGGACCGAAUUUCAUUACUGAGAAAUGAUGACACAGCCAUUAUCGGAAAACGCAAUCAGGGCGGAAAGAAAAACAAAAAAGAAA